rnacentral:misc_RNA from 1 species
UCUCCGUAGGUGAACCUGCGGAGGGAUCAUUACAGAGUUCAUGCCCUACCGGGUAGAUCUCCCACCCUAUGUUAUUAUUACUUUGUUGCUUUGGCGGGCCGUUAGGCUCCGGCCCGACUACCGGCCCCGGCUGGUAAGCGCCCGCCAGAGGACCCAAAACCCUGAAUAUUAGUGUCGUCUGAGUACUAUAUAAUAGUUAAAACUUUCAACGACGGAUCUCUUGGUUCUG